rnacentral:rRNA from 1 species
GACGAACGCUGGCGGCGUGCUUAACACAUGCAAGUCGAACGGAAAGGCCUGCUUUCCCUUGUGGAUUGCGGGUACUCGAGUGGCGAACGGGUGAGUAACACGUGAGUGAUCUGCCCCCAACUUGGGUAUAAGCCUGGGAAACUGGGUCUAAUUCCCGAUAGGACUGCAGGGUGGUGCCUGUGGUGGAAAACGAUUUUCUAGUGGUUGGGGAUGAGCUCGCGGCCUAUCAGCUUGUUGGUGGGGUAAUGGCCUACCAAGGCGGCGAUGGGUAGCCGGCCUGGGAGGGUGGACGGCCACAUUGGGACUGGGAUACGGCCCAGACUCCUACGGGAGGCAGCAGUGGGGAAUAUUGCACAAUGGGCGGAAGCCUGAUGCAGCGACGCCGCGUGGGGGAUGACGGCCUUCGGGUUGUAAACUCCUUUCGACCGCGAGGAAGCCACCUGGUUGGAAGGGUGGUGACGGUAGUGGUAGAAGAAGCACCGGCUAACUACGUG